rnacentral:rRNA from 1 species
AAUUUUUCUCAAUGGGGGAAACCCUGAAGGAGCGACGCCGCGUGGAGGAUGAAGGUCUUCGGAUUGUAAACUCCUGUCAUUGGGGAACAAUGCGUAAAUAUUAACUGUAUUUGCGUUGAUAGUACCCGAAGAGGAAGAGACGGCUAACUCUGUGCCAGCAGCCGCGGUAAUACAGAGGUCUCAAGCGUUGUUCGGAUUCAUUGGGCGUAAAGGGUGCGUAGGCGGCGCGGUAAGUCGGGUGUGAAAUCUCGGAGCUUAACUCCGAAACUGCAUUCGAUACUGCCGUGCUUGAGGACUGGAGAGGAGACUGGAAUUUACGGUGUAGCGGUGAAAUGCGUAGAUAUCGUAAGGAAGACCAGUGGCGAAGGCGGGUCUCUGGACAGUUCCUGACGCUGAGGCACGAAGGCCAGGGGAGCAA